UCAAAUUAUAAGCCCUAAAUCCCAAAUUUCUGUCAUUGACUCCAUUGUCAAUCUCACAUCUUCCUUUUUUCUUUUCUUUUUCUGUCGAAUUCUUCUCCAUCCCUUUUCUAUAUCCAUAUUUUCUGAUAAUUUUGACGCCAUGUCCCGAAAUUCAAUGAAUAUCGAGGAAGUCGAUAUAUAUAAUUGCAGUAAUUAUUAUCGUCUAAAAACUAACUUCGAGGACUCCAUUGAAUCUAAGUCGUUGAUUUUUUGGAUGCAAAGCUUCAAAGAAAAAUGUUGGAUGUGGCUAUUUAAAUAGAUUGAUUCAUUGCCUGAAAGUGCUCAAGUGUCGUGCUCAAUGAAUAAAUUCAAAAAUGGUGAAAAAUUGAUUUAUUGACUAAAGGAAAAAUUAAAAGAUCUUGAAGAAGAAAGAGACUCUUUGAAAUUGAAAUUGAAUGAUUAUGAAGAGAAGAUGAUGGUAGUUAAUCAGAAGCUCAAGGAAGUUAAACUACAAAGGAAUCAGAAAAAUGCCAAAUUCAACAGGCUUGUGUUUGUUCUACUUUGUCUACUAACUAUAAAUGGUUCUUUAAUAUAGUAUAGUCUUGUAGUAGUUUAAAGUGUACGACCAGUGUAGGUGCAUGUUGAAUUAGCUGGUUAUGUUUUGUAUCAAAUUGAAAUCUUGAAAGUGAAUUGAUGGCCUUGUUUUGUAUCAAACUGGAAGCUUGAAUGUUAAUUGAUUGGCCUUAUUUUGUAUCAAACUUUGAGCUUGAAUGUGAA